GAAAGGAGCUGCUAGUUCUAGUUCUAAUUUCUUUUCAUUAUCUAUCAUCAGUUUCACUGCAGGGGCCAUGGUGUUAUAUCAACUGCCAGACUCUUCUUCUUUCUGGCUGUUGGAGACUGAGGCUGUACCCUACCGCUCGCCCCAUGGCACCUGGUAUAGGCUCGAGCUCACACGCAACCCUGAAAUGGAUAAACAGAAGAAGAAACACUGCUGGUCUGGUCACUGAUGCCAGAUUUGAUUGAUCGAAAGUAACCAAGUCUAAAUAUGACACUUAUUUCUUAAUAUUUUGUUAGAUUUUGGAGGCUGAUUAAAAGCAAAAAUGAAAA